rnacentral:lncRNA from 10 species
GUUGCCUGAGCCAGCAGCCGCAAUCUGCUUUGGUCCCAUUCCACCCUGUGGAGGCUUUGUUCUUCCGCUCUUUGCAGUAAACCUUGCUGCUGCUUACUCUUUGGGUUCGCACCGCCUUAAGAGCUGUAACAUCACGAAGGUCUGCAGCUUCACUCCUGAGGCCAGCGAGACCACGAACCCACUGGGAGGAACGAACAACUCCCAACAGGAGGAAUGAAUAACUCCGGAUGGGAAGAACGAACAGUUCUGGACGGGAGGAACAAACAACUCUAGACGCGCCACCUUAAGAGCUGUGACACUCACUGUGAAGGUCUGCAGCUUCACUCCUGAAGCCAGUGAGACCAUGAACUCACCAGAAGGAAGAAACUCCAAACACAUACGAACAUCAGAAGGAACAAACUCCGGACACACCAUCUUUAAGAACCAUAACACUCACCGGGAGGGUCUGUGGCUUCGUUCUUGAAGUCAGUGAGACCAAGAACCCACCAAUUUUGGACACAAUCUGAUGGUCUUACAAAGGUUUCCCCUCUUGUUUGGCUCUCAUUUUCUCUUGUCUGCCCCCAUGUAAGAUGUGCCUUUUGCCUUCCACCAUGAUUGUGAGGCCUCCCCAGCCAUGUGGAACUGGGCUGUUCUGCUUGCUGGAUUGGAAAUGAUUUUAGCCCCUCAUGCCAGGAAGAAAACAUAGGCAGAUUUCUCACCAGCUAAAAAGGAAGGAAAAAUUGUGAAGUGAAAUUUUCUACUGGCUGUGGUUUAUCCAUGUUAAAUUGUAAAGCAUAUAACACAGAUGGAAUCCGGCACAUGCAAAACACUCACAAAACCUAGUUACUACUACUGCUGGCGCUGCGGCUACACGACUACAACUACUACUACAGCCACUACUCUCCUCCUACUGCUACUGCUGCUGCUGCUAGUGUUUCGUAAAGUGGAGCUACAGAAAUCAACAUUUUUUUUCUUAGCUGCACAGUGAAUUCGUUUUUUGGACUCCAGUAUUCUUCCUGAAGGUCUGUUUCAUCCUAGUAUGACUCUCACUUUUUUUUCAAAAUUUUAUUUUAUUUUAUUUUUGAAAUGGAGCCUCACUCUGUUGCCCAGGCUGGAGUGCAGUGGCGUGAUCUCGGCUCACUACAACCUCCGCCUCUGGGUUCAAGAGAUUCUCCUGCCUCGGCCUACUGAGUAGCUGGGAUUACAGGCACGCGCCACCACGCCCAGCUAAUUUUUGUAUUUUCAGAAGAGAUGGGGUUUCACCAUGUUGGCCAGGAGGGUCUCAAUCUCCUGACCUCAUGAUCCGCCUGCCUCGGCUUCCCAAAGUGCUGGGAUUGCAGGCGUGAGCCACCAUGCCUCUACAUUUUAAUUUUUUAAAACUUACCAUCUUUAUCAUUUUUAAGUGUACAGUUAAGUGGUAAUAAAUACAUAUGUAUCUCCUAUCUCAUUUCCUUAUUUUCAUCCCCCAUCCCAUUUCUGGACUCUGGCUAAUAGCAGUCUACUCGGUAUCAUCACGAGAUCCACGUUUUUAGUUUCCACAUAUGAAUGAGAACAUGCGAUAUUUGUCUUUCUGUGCUUGGCUUAUUUCACUUAACAUAAUGGCCUCUGGUUCCAUCCAUGCUGCUGCAAGUGACAGGAUUUCACUCUUUUUAUAGCUGAAUAAUAUUCCAUUGUGUAAAUAUAACACAUUUCCUUUAUUCAUCUGUUGAUGGGUACUUACGUUGAUUCUAUAUUUUGAAUAGUGCUGCAGUAAACAUGGGAGGGAGAUAUCUCUUUAAUAUACUGAUUUCCUUUCUUUUGAGUAUAUACCCAGCAGUGAAAUUGCUAGACCAAAUGGUAGUUCUAUUUUUAGUUUUUUUGCAGAACCUCCAUACUGUUCUAAUUUACAUUCCCACCAACAGCGUAUGAGGAUUCCCCUUUCUCCACAUCUUCGCCAGAUCUGUUAUCGCCUGCCUUUAUUUACUUAUUUUUAUUUUUAAUUCUUGUGGGUACGUAGUAGGUAUAUAUGGGAUACAUUAGCUGUUUUGAUAUAGACAUGCAAUCUGUAAUAAUCAUAUCAUGGAAAAUGGGGUAUCCGUCCCCUCAAGCAUUUAUUCUUUGUGUUACCAACAAUUCAAUUAUACUCUUUCAGUUAUUUUGAAAUGUAUAAUUAAAUUAUUAUUGAUGUAGUCUCCCUGUUGUGCCGUCAUUAAUUCUAAGACUUAUUCAUUAAUUCUAUUUUUUGUACCCAUUGCCUGCCUUUUUGAUACAAGCCAUUUUAACUGGGGUGCAAUGAUAUCUCAUUGUGGUUUUGAUUUGCACUUCUCUGAUGAUUAGUGAUAUUGAGCAUUUUUUCUUAUACCUGUUAGCCAUGUGUAUGUCUGUUUUUGAGAAAUGUCUGUUCAAAUCUUUUGCC